AAUCUUACAUUCUUACAGGAUCACCUACAACGAGGCAAACAUUUGGUCUCCAUUUAUCAAGGAAGAAAGGAGGGAGAUUUCAUUUGCACAUCUUUCCUUCAGAUCCAAAGAAUCCCACUUGUCAUUUGACAUCGAAAUAAAAAAUAAACACAUCUAAGGAUUGGUAAGCUGCAAUAAUUUCCAUUUUGCUUUUUGAUGGUGGUGCUGCGUAUAAGUUGAUACGGUUUCUCUGUGUAUUUUAAAAUGAUAUUUGAUCUGUUUGUUACACCACCCAAUCCCUACCAUGUCGAAACAAGCACGCUUUUUGAUAGCUGUAAUAAAAGUCAAGAUUUUCUAUCA